UACAGAGGGUGCGAGCGUUGUCCGGAAUCACUGGGCGUAAAGGGCGCGCAGGCGGCCCUUGAAGUCAGGCGUGAAAGCCCCGGGCUCAACCUGGGAGGUGCGCUUGAUACUCGAGGGCUUGAGUGCGGGAGAGGAGAGUGGAAUUCCCAGUGUAGAGGUGAAAUUCGUAGAUAUUGGGAAGAACACCGGUGGCGAAGGCGGCUCUCUGGACCGUAACUGACGCUGAGGCGCGAAAGCGUGGGGAGCAAACAGG
rnacentral:rRNA from 1 species